rfam:Ipomoea nil DNA, scaffold: scaffold2653, cultivar: Tokyo-kokei standard.
GGGGAUGUAGCUCAUAUGGUAGAGCGCUUGCUUUACAUGCGAGAAGUACGGGGAUUGAUACCUUGCAUUUACA